GCGCCUGUAGCUCAAUGGAUAGAGCAUUGGAUUUCUAAUCCAAGGGUUGAGGGUUCGAAUCCCCCCAGGCGCACCA
rnacentral:tRNA from 2 species